rnacentral:rRNA from 1 species
UACGUAGGGGGCAAGCGUUGUCCGGAAUUAUUGGGCGUAAAGGGCUCGUAGGCGGUUUGUCGCGUCGGGAGUGAAAACACACAGCUUAACUGUGUGCUUGCUUCCGAUACGGGCAGACUAGAGGUAUGCAGGGGAGAACGGAAUUCCUGGUGUAGCGGUGAAGUGCGCAGAUAUCUGGAGGAACACCGGUGGCGAAGGCAGCUCGCUGGGACGGUACUGACGCUGAGACGCGAAAGCGUGGGGAGCAAACAGG